GAAUAUGUCUCAAGCUCAGCUCAAAGAAGAAAAUUGUCACAAAGAUUCACACAAGGAGGAAGUGUACAAAGCCCUACAAAACGGAGAGAAUGCAGGAACUGCAGGCAGUCAGUGUCUUUAGUUCUGGGACAAUAAAAUGAGGAAUUAGCUAUCCUAAGAGAAUUGGAUGAACCAGAAGCAGAGACGCACUGUAUAGAAGAGUCCACAGAAUAUUUAGAACCUUAUGUAAAAAUCAGAAACUCCAAGAAUGCCAGCCAAGAAUUUUCUGAGGCUCAGACUGCUUCCUGGCUGGAGAGAAUUUUCCCUGGUCUGCACUGUCCUCUCUGGUGCAGGAUGCCAAAGAGUGGGGAGCCCAUGAACCUGUGUGACCAAUUUUCUGGACCUGAAUAGCACCCACAGCCAACACCUUUUAAG
rnacentral:lncRNA from 10 species